GAAAUGCGAUAAGUAAUGUGAAUUGCAGAAUUCAGUGAAUCAUCGAAUCUUUGAACGCAGCUUGCGCUCCUUGGUAUUCCUUGGAGCAUGCCUGUUUGAGUAUCAUGAAAUCUUCAAAGUAAAUCUUUUGUUAACUCAAUUGGUUUCUACUUUGGUAUUGGAGGUCUUUGCAGCUUCACACCUGCUCCUCUUUGUUCAUUAGCUGGAUCUCAGUGUUAUGCUUGGUUCCACUCGGCGUGAUAAGUUAUCUAUCGCUGAGGAUACUGUAAAAGGUGGCCAAGGUAAAUGCAGAUGAACCGCUUCUAAUAGUCCAUUGACUUGGACAAUACUUUUAUGAUCUGAUCUCAAAUCAGGUAGGACUACCCGCUGAACUUAAGC
rnacentral:misc_RNA from 1 species